CGGGGUCCAUCACCACAUAGACAUCAAAAUAAAAAGCACGGAGCAUACCGGUGACAACAUCGGGAGAGUCCUCCUGCUCCUGACGAGGUGGUAUAGCAUAGAAAUGACUCUGGCGUUGACCGCCAGUAGUACUAGACGAAGCUCCCUGAGGAGGAACUAGACGGGCUGCGAGAGGCAGGGCACUGGUAGCCUGACUCUGGGGAUGGGCAUCACGACUCCGCUGUCUGGCAUACGGGCAGUCUCUAAGUAUGUGGCCCAACUUUCCACAACCAAA
rnacentral:lncRNA from 1 species